AAGGUUAUGGAUUUGUUAGCCAUCGUUGACCUGCAGGAUUUGGCUGUGUUCUGGGUAUUAACCUUGUGAUCGGCUAUGACCUGGCUGGUAUUAUCUUCCACUCCAUAAAGGUGCCUGCUGAGCUUUUUUUCCUUAUAGUUACAUGUAUUACCAUAGUGUCUGUGUCCCAGCACUCCUGAGGGUCAGAGGACAGCUUGUGAGAGUCAGUCUUUCCACCCUGCGGAUCUGAGAGAUUGAAUACAAUUGCCCUUCAGGUUUGGCAACCAGCGCCUUCACCCACACAGCCAUCUUCUCAGCCCGAGUUUUAAGCUGUGGCAUUGUUAGUGUGUGUUUGCUUUUGCUGCCUGCACUUUGGGUGUCAUCUAAGAAAUCAUCGCCAGAUCCAAUGUCAUAAAGUCUGUAUUGUUCCUUUGUUUUUUGUUUUGUUUUGCUUUAAAAAUACUAGACAAGUGCUACACUACUGAGUUGCAUCCUCAGACCUUAAAAGUGCCUCGUCUUAAUCUACAUCUCUGUAAUUGUUUGCUAGUCAUGAGUUUUAUGGCUUAACCCACUGUAUUAGGAUAUAUAUGAUGCACAAGGACUUAAACCAUCUAAGUCUAACCAUAGCUGAUUAGUUCUUGGAGUUGCUUCUCAUUUUUCUUCAGCUGUUCAUGUGUGGGCUUGCCCUGUGGACAUAGAUAUUCUUCUCAUGCGAGCAAAUUCCACCCACUACCGAGAACGAUGGUAAGCCAUUGCUCCGCUUCCCCAAUACCAGUCUUUCAUAAUUAUGUGUCUAAAGCAUUGGACAUUUCAUGCUCUAGUUUUCAUUUUUACAAAUAAAAUAAUGGAUCUUAACAACUGUCACAUUUAGCAUCUGGUAGGAAGGUCCCUGACAUCAUCAGUGUUCUGUCCUUGUUGGAUCUUGAAUGCACAAACUGGACUAGUUUUAGUCUCUGGCUCAUAGUGUAGCUCUUCCAUUGCGUCCUUAUUUUUAAUAAUCUGUCAAUAUGUCUGACUCUUCUAUCAAUAUGAAAGGCAGGGCAGUAACAAAAGUGGCUUGCUCCCUCCAUGACUUUGACACUGUACCCAAUGAAUUCUUUAAAGCAGAUAUUUUGCUGUUCGUAUCUUCUGGAACAUUUGUUUUAAAUGGGUGGAAUUUAUCUGGUGCUGUGUACAAAAGUCCUUGAUACUCAUGCGGGUGACAAGGUCACCUCUCCUAUAGCCUCAUUAGAGGAGUGACUCAGACAGAAUCCAGCCUGAGCACUCACCAUCCAGAGGUAACGGCUAUCACCCCUAAGUUGUCCUGCUGAUCUCCUAGUCAUGUCUUUAUGGAGAGAGGCUGCAUCCCUUUCUUCUGUAAACCGUUUCAGGAUGACAAAAUUCCACUUAGUGGGGGCUCCAUGAGCAUACAGCUGCCCCUUUCUUACCCUGGCUGUGCCACACAUUAAAUUUCAGCUUUCCUGCCAGCGAGGAAAGGUGUGUUCUUUAAUGUUAGGGAUCGACAACUGUACCAUGAGAUCUAGUUCUCGGGCAUUCCCUUGUGCCCCAGUGUCUGAGUGGGUAGCACUGGUGGGUCAGACAACUGCUGUGUUAGCCUGGUCUACAGAGUGAGUUCCAGGACAGACAGCCAAGGCUACACAGAGAAACUGCUGUGUUCUGUUGCCCUCUGCAGAGGUAGGCAGGCCUGCGCACGUGGAGUGUGGGAGUCCGUGUUGGUAGGUCUUAGGCACUUUGCAUAUGGAACAUUACGUUUCUACCAGUUGCUUUCUUGGCUCUGUCACAUGUUCACAGUGGCCCAUGGUGUGUUAGAUUCUUGUCAUCUAUGUGUAUAAAUUUGAUAACCUUGGCUUAGUUAUGAUCAGGACCCCAAUGUCUAAGACACAAGAGAUUGUGAUUUUGCAAAGGUACAAGUUAUUCUGUCCUGAGACUGCUGGCUGAGCUUUUCCUCCGCUUAUCCUUGCAUCAGAGCAGCUCUUCUAAGGAGUCCAACACUGCAGAUUUAGGUAAGCCUGGGCUGAUGUUUUUAUAAGUACUGUUGUAAUGGGUAGGGCUGUAUAGUAUAAUUGUGGUAACUUAUAAGUAAGUCACUCAUCAUGAACUUGGGAGUAAAAACCCCAGAAUGUUAUCUUGAUGUCCCUCUCCCAUGUCUGGUGCCAGGAUUUAUAUUCUAAGACACCUCCCCUUCAUGAAGUCACCUAAUAUUACUAAUCUGUUUUUAAGUGGAAUCAUGUAAUGUGUACUGUUUUUAUAACUUCAUAAUAUUUUGUCUUGUCAUGUGGCUCCAGUAAUUUUGACCCUUUUCCUACUGAUCCCUUCAGGCUGUUCCAGGAUUUUCUGGUCAUUGCAAGCAGUGGUCACUGAGCUUUUACUCCUCAGGACACUAAUGAAGCCAGUCCUGAAGGAGGCCGAGGGCUCCCAACUGCAGCUCCGAGCUCUCAUGAAUGCUCUGACUCUCCACUCUUGAAUCUCGGUUUUGUUCAGUAGUUAGCUUAGUGUUUCUGCAGCCAAAAUCAACUUCUUCUGGUCUCCCGCCAGCUGUGAGGUUGUGUUAGGGCUGGCGAGUGCCUGCACUAUAUGUUAUGUCCCUACCAGAACUUAACAGGUGGUGCUGGAAUGAUAAUGGAUUUUGAGUCUCAGGCAGCUUCUGGUCCUUACCUCAAGCAGGUUAAAAACCGAAGUCAAACCAGGCAUGAUAAUACACCCCUGUCAAGCUGCACACACUGGGACAGUAGAAGCAGGAGGAUCAGGUGUUUCAGGCCAGCCUCUGCUCUGCAGCCUGGGCUAUAAAAAACCUUAAGGACGGCUAUGAUGCUUGUGAAAGCUGCAUUCAUUCUUGCUUGUUCCUUUAGUACACCCACACCGCUUUCUAGAUUAAGGGUACUCUGUCCUCUGAGGCCACCAAGUGCCCAGGGAACAGGUGUGAGCUCCCUCUGUCUCCUCCUUGCCUGUCCUUGCCUCCUAGGGUCCCAGAGAGUUAGACACUGGAUGGUGGGGCCAGCUUCUGUCUGGCAGCCUCUUCCUCACCAGCGGGUUGUGCUGGGCUUCUCCCUUCACUCUAAUGACCAGUGUACUGUCCCCUCUGCUGACUGUGUGACCCCACAGCAAGUUCCCUCCAGCGCUUGCCCCUUAUACACACAGAGAAUGUGUAGAUGAUACUUGUUAAUAUUAGAACUGCAAGUGUGUAGGUGAUCUCUUGCUUCUAGACAGCGCAUGGUGCAGUGGCGUGUGGUCUGGCCAUGCCUUGUCUCGCCCUCAAGGCUGUUGGGCCAACAGAGCUGUAGCCUCAUUUGAAUGCCCCACUCCUGCUCGGGGGAACAACUGAGCUGUUUCUAGCAAUGUCGAGUGUCGAUUACUAAGUACUAAAUAUCUAUUUACAUGCGUCUUGAUGUGUAUAGGCAAGUAUGCCCAUUCAGGAGCAUGGGGGACAUGGGAUGCCUUCUGUAAGAUGCUCCAAUUGGCUUUUCCCCACACCUUAACAAUGCUUGUCCCUAAACUUGGGUAUUUGUCAAGUGUGAGAAGUGAAGGGUAAUUUUCAAUUGUAGCUUUGAUUGGUAUGUUUGUUGAUUUAAAGUGCUCUUUUCAUAUUAAGGAAACUAACCAUUUGUGUUGCAAACACUUCUGGUCCUCUCUGACUUUUAUAGUUUAUGAUACUUUGCUGUUGAAUAUUUUAAAUAUACAGAUGUACUUGUUUAUUGGUAUUUUUUUCUGCAUUUUAUGAUGAGCUCAGAAAGUUUGGUCUAAUUCAACACUAUUCAUGCUUUUACUUCUGUUGGUUCUCUCUGGACUCUGCAGUUGGUGCUUUGGUAUAUGAUGAGGGCGGCCCUACCUCCUAACUCAACUCUUCUCUAGUUUCCUGGUUACUCAUGUGAAUAUUUAACUGUCCUUAAGCAUCUUGAAUAAGCAUCUUGAACAGAAUAAGGUAUCUUAUUCUGUUUUACCUGUGGCUUAACCUAACCUGACUGAAAUAUUUCUUAUACUCAUGCGUGUAUGCCAGCACAGGGUAAAGGUCAGAGGACAGUGUUGUUGGAUUGGGUUUCCUUCUACCACUCGGCUCUGGGGAUUGAGCUGAGGUUGGCAUGCUUGGCAGCCAGCACCUUUACCUGCUGAGCCAUCUAUCUCAGUGCCCUGAAAUGGUGUGUGACUGGGUCAGGUAUGCAAGUCUUUAAUCCCAGCACUUGGGAGGCAGAGGCAGGCAGAUCUCUGAAUUCAUGGCCAGCCUGGUCUACAGAGUAAAUUCCGGGAUAUCAGGGCUAUGUAGAGAAACCCUGUCUCAAAAAAUAAACAAAAAAAAUGUGAUCAUUAGUAUUAGCCUGUACAGUUAGAGGACCUUGACCAACAUCCAGACUAGGGGUCGACCACCUACUCCUGGAUGUCUUAUCCUGCAGGCCCGAUCCCUUCCCAAACAGUGACUUCUGUCACAGAAUACUUUUUAAAAAUUACACUUGCUUGGCGGAGAGGAGAAGUUUUAAGUUCCAUGAGGCACCUGUGGAGGUCAAAGGACAACCUGCAGAUGUCUUUUCUCCCCUUCUGUUGUAUGGGUAGUUGGAAUUGAAUCAGGUUAUCAAACUUGGUGGCAAGCCCCGGUAGUUGCUGAGCCAUCUUAGUGGCCCACAGAGUGCUUUAUGUAUUUUUGGUGGUUACUUAUAGCUGUCACACUGUCCAUCUCCUGUUUGGUGGCCUCUGUCAUUGACGAGAUCCGUAACACUGUUCUGAUAACAAUGCUAAUGAGUUUAUGCAAAUCUAGUAAAUUGCACCCAGGAGCCAAGUGAGGUGUACAUUUUAUGCCAGUGCUUUGGGGACAAAUUCAGGUAGUUCUCUGGUUUUGGGGUCUGCAUAGUGAGCCCCAUGGCUGCAUAGUCUCAAAAGAACACUGACACCUCUCCCCCUAAAAUAGAAUUGUGCUAAAGGUCACAGUGAGGAGGGCUGCUUGCCAAGCCCCUCCUAGAGAGUUCUGUAGACCUAGUCCUGGUGUUUAAAUGGAGUCUGAUUUUAGUGCCAGCACAUGGCUGCCGUGCUUCACCCUGACCUGCCUUCUCCUGAUGCCAGCUUACUAGAACUUUGAACAAAAUGGUACUUAAUUGUAGUUGUGAUUGGUAUGUUUACUGAUUUAAAGUGCUCUUUACAUAUUAAGGAAACUAACCAUUUGUGUUGCAAACACUUCUAGCCCUCUCUGACUUCUAUAAUUUAUGAUACUUUGCUGUUGAGUAUUUUAAGUAUACAAAUGUACUUGUUUAUUGGUGGUUUUUGGAUUUUUAUGAUACUUUGCUGUUAAGUAUUUUAAGUAUACAAGUGUACUUGUUUAUUGGUGGUUUUUGGAUUUUAUAAGGAGCACAGAAAACUCGGUCUAAUCCAAGACUUUGGUGAACCCGUUCUUUGCCCCACUCCCGUGGCUCUAUUUGGACUUUGCCCCACUCCCGUGGCUCUAUUUGGACGUAAGUUGCUGUGAUGAGUGGGGUCAGGAAGCCUGAUGUGGCUACUACACAUUUACUGAGUGGCACAGGACAAAAUGAACUGUGUGCUGGCCAAGCUUCUCCGGCCACAAAGUGCCAGCUCUUUGGUGUUUUGAGCCUGAUGCUGUGAACGCCUUGUUUAGUGGGAGACAGGAAGGUUUAUUCCUGAGCUGCUAGGUUGAGGAGAGACUGUUGGUCUCCUUCCUAAUUGCCCAUCCUGGUAAGGGUCUCCUGUCAGUUCCCCUAGGGUAGCCCACCCUUUCUCCCCAAGUCAUGUGCCUGGAAGCAAGCGCUGAGCCAAGUGUUUUCUUCAGUUCGUAUGCUGGCCAUGCAGAGGUCAGAGUGACUGUCCAGAGACACUCGGGCUUUUUACUGGUUCUGUCCCUGUUUGGGGAUGUGUUCUGACUUAUUCUGGGAAAAGACGGGGACGUUCUGAGAAGAGAAACUCCUGGCCCAGAGUUUGGGAACCAUUAGGAAAAACCUUUAAACUCUUAUUCUCAGGUGUGUUCCCCAUGGAAGAGGUUCAGCCAUUCCCACCCAGCAAAUGACCAGUGAAGAGCUGCUCUAGUCUGGCAGGUCCAUCUUUGAUUUUGCAUUUUCCUGGCUUUAAAAGAGAGAGAGAGAGAAAGGUAACUGAGUUGAUUAGGGGAUGGGGCCAGGACUCGCUAGCUGUAACAUCUGGAACAUAGUUGUGUGCACUCCAUGUCAGCCUUCGGCUUCGUCUUUACCCCAGUUGUUCUGUGUUCACUCCUGUCCUCUGUUCUUCAGAAUGGUUUUUAGGUUUGCAGUUUCUCUUUUAAGACCUCAGCAAGUCUUUGAAAUAGUCCUGGUGGGCUUUGCUGUCAGCAUGGCAUGGACAUCAUAUGUUCUUUUGGAUCCAUUUUGACGAUCAACCCUUUCAGCUUCCAGAAAUUGCUUUGGUGUAUGGCGUGAGGUAAGCGUCUAGCUUGGCUGUUUUAAAAUGCAUCGUGAAUUGUUAGCUAGAGACUUUCUUUGGCCUAGUCGGCUGGAGCUGCCUUGCUUUCAGCUUUCCCAGUGCCUUUUUAACUUCAUACUGUUUGAAUACAUCAUGAUACAGACACCUGUCUCGUGUGUUCAUGUGUGUGCAUCUCGCAGAUAAGCAGAUAAUUCGUGCUACGCAGACAACAGUGUGACUGCUGAAGGGAUCAGUGACCCAUGGUCACACAGCCUGUUCAGGUCAUAGGCAGCUGAUGACUCAGCUCAUGUGUGUUCAGGGUUCCUGGGUCCUGGUGCUGAUGAGCAGGCACAGGGUGGGGACCUUGCAGUUUUCUUUAUCAGCACUCCUACCUCAGUCCACACCCCAUUGCUACCCAGAUCUCUUGGCAGACUGACAUUUUUAGUAGGGCAGAGCCAAGGCCUCUUCAUGUAGUCUUUGUACACUCAAAAUAUUUGUUCCUUGAAAUGACAUGUUUUGACUUGUGGCUGGUUAUGUUUUUCCGUCAAAGUGUCUGAUGAUGGUAACUCAUGUUCACCCGUACUCUGUCUUUAAUGUAGGCACUGGGUUCACCACAAAGGCCAUCGGGAAGGCAAACAGCAUACCAGCUAAAAAACCACUGUGUCAGGACACCAACUCUCACCCUGGCCUGUCUCUUGUUUACUUCAUGACCAUCUUGCUCCCUUGACUUUCCUGUGUAUAAGAAGGGUUAUUCAUUAUCUACCUUGGACUUGAGUUAGGGCUAGAGAAAUAACACACUGCUGGCACUCUUGAUCCUGGAUAGGCCUGUCCUCAUAGGUUUUCCACUCAGGAACAGUUGUCUCUGGUGGUUAUGUCCCCAUAGGACCCAUCCAUCUCCCAUGCAUCUCUCCUAUUUUAUUAGCAUUUGCUAUACUUAAUUCACCAAGAAACCAUGAACAUCAUAGCUUGUGUUCCACACAGCCCACCCGUGGGAUCCAUCAACAGGUGAAGCAGGAUUCCACUGGCCCUGGGAGCUGCAUGCCAACCGGACUUCAUGGUGCUUUGAGAGGCCCUUGUUCUGUUUGGUCCACAGGAUGAGUUGGAGUGACCUGCUUAUAGGUGGUGGUUCUGUCUUCACAGCCUCCUAACUGCCCUUCCUUCCCACCCCCAUAGCCUUUAUGCUUGCUUCCCUGUGAACCUGCCUGUACUUGGUACCUCAUGUAAGUGUAAUACAACAUCUGUCUCACCUCACGUGGCAUGGUAUCUAUAGAAGUGUAUGAUACGAUUUUUCUUCCUCCUUGUGGCUGAAUAAUAUUCCAUUGCAUUGCUUUAGCACAUUUCAUUUCUCCGUUCCACUGGAGGUUUGAAGUGUUUCUACUUAUUGCCUAAUGCUAGCAAUGGUGCUAUGAACAUGUGUGUUCAAGUCUUUUUGCGAACGUGUUUUCCAUAGUUUAUGUACAUAGAGAGGAGCUACUAACUACUUCGAGAUGGUACAGUAAGUAGUUUAACUGGAUCUGAGGAGCUGCCAUGGUGUCCUAUGCUGCCCCUGUUGACGGCCAGCCACCUUGAGGCCUGCCUCUGCUGACCCUUUGUUUUUCAAGUAGGUUCUUACUGGUGAGUGUGUGUGUGUGUGAUGUUCGCCCUCCCCUUUUUAUCAAGACAGGGCUUCUCUGUGUAACAGCCCUGGCUCUGUAGACCAGGCUGGCCAAGAACUCAGAGAUCCUCCUGCCUUGCCUCCAGAGUGCUGUCAUUAUAGGCAUGUACCACCACCCAGCUGAACCCAGGGCCUCUUGAUUGACAGGCAAGCAUUCUGCCGGUGAGCCAAAUCCCCAGAAUAGUGUCUUUUAGCAUAGUUAAUGUAUAUAUUGUGUGUAUACAUGUGUGGGGGCAGAGGACAACUUGUGGGAAGCAGUUUUCCUCCACCACAUGGUCCAGGGGUCAAACCCGGGAAGUCAGGCCUUGGUGGGUGUGUGUCUACCUACUAACGCCUGUCACUGGCUACAUUUAUGUGUUACAAGUAGUUUGAAGGCUACAAAUGUAGUUCAUAUAGGAGAGAGCUUGCCUAAGGCUUUCUGUCCACUACUGCAAGAAUUAAAAAGCCACCCGACUGCAGAGGAAGCCAACAGCUGGCUGCUUCAGGUUCCAUGCUGCUGUGUCCACAGAGACCACAGGUGUUAGGCAGACGAAAGGGAGCACCUGUGUGACUGACUGGUCCCAGCGAGGCGACACUGUUGCCUCCUGUGAG